AUGUCGCGUAAAACGCUUGCUUGGUCGAAUAAGGAGGUGGAGACGUUCCUCAGCAUUCUUGGGGAGGAAGACGUGCAGAGGGGGCUUGAUAGUGCAGUGAGGAACGAGAAGGUCUUCCAGCUGGUUUCUGGUCGAAUGGCGAUUGCGGGAUACGAGAAGAACACUGAGCAGUGUCGGCGGCAAUGCAAAAAGCUCCGGGCCGAGUAUGAGGAGGUGAAAGACCACAACAACCGCAGUGGCGUCGACAGGAAGAUGUGGAAGUGGUUUAACAUCAUGGACCCAAUCUACGGACACCGACCGGCGAGUAGAGGAAGAGAGGGGGCCAUCGACACGGCAACCUCUCUGCUCGAGUCCAUGUUGGAGCCUACCGGUGAGGUACCUCGCUACCAGGAAGUGCCUGACUCGGCCUUCCCAGAGGACGAAGACAUGGGGUCAAGCCGUUGUGUGAGCCCAACGCCAUCUACACCAGUCCCAGCGGAGAGUGCUGCUCUUUGCAACACCACCAACCCCACCUAUCCACGGCCUUUUGCCUUUGGUAAGUCCAAGCAAUCACGUCGCUACACAUGUUUACAAAAUUACAUUGUUUUACGGCUUUAUAUGAUGAAAGUUGAGCUACAUCUAACCACAUCUAAAUUGCCACACUUUAGUAAUCGGAAUAGGAGUGUAAUUAUACAUUGUGUGUACCUGCAUAUCAGUACAAUAAGAAGUUGAUCAAACAAUUUGUAUGAUGUCCACUAUUCCUUUCUGUUACAGCCAAAAGAAGUAGGGCCAGUGAUGUUGCACUUGCCCUCCGGGAUAUGCAGGCAUCUGAUGAGAGGCGGCAGGAGCGGGAAGAGGAGCGGCAGGACCGUAGACACCGGGUCGCUCGAGAGGAGGCCCUACAGGAUGCCACCGAUGCUCGACUGCAUGAGGAUCAACGAGCAAUGCAGCGGAUGGCGCAAGUUGCAUCGUUCAACACCGCCUUCCUCCAAACCUUCAGCCAGAUGGUGCAGGCGUUUGGACACCGCGACCCUGUGCCGUGAUCCAGCCAUUCAGGGCCUGACCCUCUGAACCUUUUUUUUUGUGUGAAGACCUUUUUUUUUUUUGUGUUUUAACAUGUAAAUAAAUAUUCCUGUAUUUUUACUGUUUAAUAAAAAAAUAUAUACUAAAGCAGGAGUUGCUUUCUACACAUUUUCCAUGUACACAUUUUAUGGUCACCUUGAACUUGAGUUUACACGCCCACUGUGGGAUGGCUCACAUUUCACACAUGGGAAAAGUGGACAGCAUUGCUUAACUUUUCAAUUAAAAUGGGG
rnacentral:lncRNA from 1 species